rnacentral:rRNA from 1 species
CUUGCCUACGGGGGGCAGCAGUGAGGAAUAUUGGUCAAUGGGCUUACGCCUGAACCAGCCAAGUCGCGUGAGGGAAGACUGCCCUAUGGGUUGUAAACCUCUUUUGUCAGGGAGCAACGCCGGCUACGUGUAGCCGGACUGAGAGUACCUGAAGAAAAAGCAUCGGCUAACUCCGUGCCAGCAGCCGCGGUAAUACGGAGGAUGCGAGCGUUAUCCGGAUUUAUUGGGUUUAAAGGGUGCGUAGGCGGAAUGUCAAGUCAGCGGUAAAAUCGCGGGGCUCAAGCCCGCUCCGCCGUUGAAACUGG